GACGAACGCUGGCGGCGUGCUUAACACAUGCAAGUCGAGCGGUAAGGCCCUUUCGGGGUACGACGAGCGGCGAACGGGUGAGUAACACGUGGGUGACCUGCCCUCAGCUCUGGGAUAAGCCUGGGAAACCGGGUCUAAUACUGGAUAUGACUCCAUGACGCAUGUUGUGGGGUGGAAAGCCUUGUGCGGCUGAGGAUGGGCCCGCGGCCUAUCAGCUUGUUGGUGGGGGUGA
rnacentral:rRNA from 1 species